GGACGGGUGAGUAACGCGUGGGUAACCUGCCUUAUACAGGGGGAUAACAGUUAGAAAUGACUGCUAAUACCGCAUAAGCGCACAGGAUUGCAUGAUCUGGUGUGAAAAACUCCGGUGGUAUAAGAUGGACCCGCGUCUGAUUAGCUGGUUGGUGAGGUAACGGCCCACCAAGGCGACGAUCAGUAGCCGACCUGAGAGGGUGACCGGCCACAUUGGGACUGAGACACGGCCCAAACUCC
rnacentral:rRNA from 1 species